UACGUAGGGGGCAAGCGUUGUCCGGAUUUAUUGGGCGUAAAGAGCGUGUAGGCGGCCAAGCAGGUCAGCUGUGAAAACUCGAGGCUCAACCUCGAGACGUCGGUUGAAACCGCUUGGCUAGAGUCCGGAAGAGGAGAGUGGAAUUCCCGGUGUAGCGGUGAAAUGCGCAGAUAUCGGGAAGAACACCCGUGGCGAAGGCGGCUCUCUGGGACGGUACUGACACUGAGACGCGAAAGCGUGGGGAGCGAACAGG
rnacentral:rRNA from 1 species